GUGUGGCUCAGUGGUAGAGCAUUUGUCUGACAUACACAAAGCCCUGAGUUCAAUUUCCAGCAC
rnacentral:tRNA from 1 species